UACGAAGGGGGCUAGCGUUGCUCGGAAUCACUGGGCGUAAAGCGCACGUAGGCGGAUUGUUAAGUCGGGGGUGAAAUCCUGGAGCUCAACUCCAGAACUGCCUUCGAUACUGGCGAUCUCGAGUUCGGGAGAGGUGAGUGGAACUGCGAGUGUAGAGGUGAAAUUCGUAGAUAUUCGCAAGAACACCAGUGGCGAAGGCGGCUCACUGGCCCGAUACUGACGCUGAGGUGCGAAAGCGUGGGGAGCAAACAGGG
rnacentral:rRNA from 1 species